rnacentral:rRNA from 1 species
GUGCCAGCCGCCGCGGUAAUACGGAGGGGGCUAGCGUUGUUCGGAAUUACUGGGCGUAAAGGGCGCGUAGGCGGACGAUCAAGUCAGGGGUGAAAGGCCCGGGCUCAAUCUGGGAACGGCCUUUGAAACUGAUUGUCUUGAGUCCGGGAGAGGAUAGCGGAAUUCCCAGUGUAGAGGUGAAAUUCGUAGAUAUUGGGAAGAACACCGGUGGCGAAGGCGGCUCUCUGGACCGGCACUGACGCUGAGGCGCGAAAGCGUGGGGAGCAAACAGGAUUAGAAACCCCGGUAGUCC